ACUAUUUUGGCAGAUUAGUGCAAUAAAUUUAGAAUUUAUAAAUGUAAUUUUUAUUAAUACAAAUAGUAC
rnacentral:tRNA from 1 species